UAUGUGAUCGUCUCUCGCAUAUCAAUAAGCGGAGGAAAAGAAACUAACAAGGAUUCCCCUAGUAACGGCGAGUGAAGCGGGAAGAGCUCAAAUUUGAAAUCUUAAAGGUUUUCCCUUGACGAAUUGUAGUUUAAAGAAGUGUUUUCUGUUGAAGUUUUGGUAAAAGUUCUUUGGAAUAGGACAUCAUAGAGGGUGAGAAUCCCGUAUUUGACCUUUACUUUCAACUUUGUGAUACACUUUCAAAGAGUCGGAUUGUUUGGGAAUGCAGUCCAAAAUGGGUGGUAAAUUUCAUCUAAAGCUAAAUAUUGGCGAGAGACCGAUAGCGAACAAGUACCGUGAGGGAAAGAUGAAAAGAACUUUGAAAAGAGAGUUAAACAGUACGUGAAAUUGUCAAAAGGGAAGCGUUUGACACCAGUGUUGUUUUUCUGAAAAUCAAUUAAAGAACUGUUUAUGCUAAGUUGUUUAGACUUUAUCAGCUAACUGUUUAGUUUUGAGCUUUUCUUUAAUGCACUUUUCAGUUAACAAGUCAACAUCAAUUUCUUUUGCUGUAAAAAAACUUGAGGAAGGUGGCUUGAGAUUCGUCUUAAGUGUUUAUAGCCUCUUGCCUAUGCAGUCGGAGAGAUUGAGGUCUGCAGCGUAGAUCCUUCGGGGCUAAAUGCAUUUGUGCUAAGUUAUAGCAUUUUAUAGACUACUUGUUGACUAUGAUUUGUCUUGUAGCUUACUCGCUUAUGUUGUUUUACCUACGCUUAGGAUGUUGAGUCAUCACACAUCUCU
rnacentral:rRNA from 1 species